rnacentral:rRNA from 1 species
CAAUAGCGUAUAUUAAAGUUGUUGCAGUUAAAAAGCUCGUAGUUGAAUUUCUGUCAGGAGUGACCGGGCCUUUGGAUGGACUUCCAUUGUUUUUUGCUCUGUUUGUCAUCUCUAGACAUCCUGAAAUAUUUUUUAAAAAUAUUUCUCUUUUACUGUUAGCAAAAUAGAGUGUUCCAAGCAAAGCGUAGUUUUGAAUACAUUAGAAUGGAAUAAUAAGAUAGGACUUUGGUGCUAUUUUGUUGGUUUGCACACCAAGGUAAUGAUUAAUAGGGACAGUUGGGGGUAUUCGUAUUUAAUUGUCAGAGGUGAAAUUCUUGGAUUUAUGAAAGACGAACUACUGCGAAAGCAUUUACCAAGGAUGUUUUCAUUAA